UACAUUUUUAUGACAUAAAUUUGAUUAAUGAUAUAAAAGUAAUUUGUUCAAGAUAAUAUAUUCUACGAUUACGAACUGGAUCUAUAAAUGUACUGUUUUAUUUUUUAGAGCGUUAGAUGAUACAAGAGAAAGAGAGAACAAAAAAUAGAUAGGAAGAUAGAAAGAAAACGAAAAAAGAAAAAAGAUGGAGUACGGCCAAGAGGAUCCAAAUCGGAAUAAAAGGAUCUGUUAAAUGAAAGCAGAGCGAGCGAGAUUAUCGUGAGCUACUUCAAAGGCAUCUAUUGGCGUCGCAAGCAAAAAAGAAGAACAACAAUGUUUCGCUGAUAAUCGAUCUACCCAACAUUUGCACUAUCUAUGAUUGUAAAUAACAAAUAACUGCAGAGAAAUGUUAUAAAAUGAAUGAUGUAUGUAUAUGUAUGUAAGUAUAUAUAUAUGUGUGUGUGUGUACGUAUAUAUGUAUAGUAUAUGUAGCAACACGCUUGCUGAUUAUACAGAUGAUUUGCAUAAAAUCAUUCUCGUUAUAUUUGCAUUAUCAUGUUGAAAGCAUUCAACAAUAUAAACUGUAUAAGAGUCUUUCGAAUACGAAGCGUCAUGUGAGUGCAUCCAAGAAUAGCUUGAUUCACGUUUGAAAACAGAGAUAAAAUUAACUAUUCUAGACGAACAAUUGAAAACAAAGAGAUCCAUGGAUCAGUCGGAAAAAUAUGUUGGCAAAACGUUAAGUAUCAUCGAUUCGAAUGAUCGGUUAGAAGUUAUUGGUUUAGAAAGCGAAGAAGCGUGAUCUCCGAGUGCGCCAGCGAAAGAGCUUUUUUUAGCCUGAAUUUGGCUCGGUUCUUAGACACCGAAGAAGAGAGAGAAAGAGAAGAGAGGAAGAGAGAGAGAGAGAGAGAGAGAGAGAGAGAGAGAGAGAGAUAGAGAGAACAAAAAAAAAGAAAAAAAGAAAGACAAUCCUACCUGAGUGAAAGAGAAGAAGCUUAAAAGAAGCUUAAAAUGUUCACAACUACUUUAAAACGUGAUUGUCUAACCUGAGAACAAUACAGCUUUUAAAUGAAAAAUCGUAUGUAUGAUGAAAAAAGAAGCUUGAAAAAAAACGACACGACACGUGUAAGAAGAUUCUUUUCGAUGUCUUUAAACAAAAAAAAGGAAAAUUGUACGUAUAAAGAAAUGUACUUUUGUCAAGAACGACGGUCACUGAACGCGAGUACAAAGAAGGAUUAAAGAAAGACACGAGGGAUACAUGGAAGAUGAAAAAAGCAAUAGGAAAAGGAGUAUAAUAAUAGAAAUAGAUAAGAAGAGUGUUAGUUAUAGUGAUACAUUAAGCUCUCACAGAUUUGGAUUUUGGUAGGAUCUACUCACUACUGGUCACCCGA